UAAAAAUUUAAAGAAAAUUGAUGUACUUGUAAAUCGCACUAUAUUGCGUAGGUGGAGUUGCCAAAGGAAGUACCAAAAUUGAGCAGACCAUUUCUGGGAUUUACAAGGACAGCAGAGAUAUGGAAUUCUAGAGCUUGUAUGAUUGGUCUUAUUGGGACAUUCAUUGUGGAACUGAUUUUCAACAAGGGAAUUCUUCAAAUGAUUGGCGUAGAUAUUGGAAAAGGCCUUGAUAUUCCACUCUAAUAGUUGUAUAUGUUUAAUUUCUUCAUGCACAAACUCCAAUUCUGUUGCCUAUGUAUUCAGUAAUGUACAACAGCGAAAAAUUCAUAAUUCAAGAAAAUUUGGAAAUC